GAUUCGAGCGCAGCGAGAAAGCGUUGCCGCAGGCAACGACCCGAAGGGUGAGGAGCGGAGCGACGAAUAAUCCUUCCCCCACCACCA
rnacentral:sRNA from 2 species